UAACAACAAUAAAAACUCCUGGCUCAGAAGGGGUGGGCCAGGAUUUAGCCAUCACCUUGGAUUACAUUCUUACGUCACUGAGCUGAGCGUUCCUUGAGAGCUAGAAGCUUAACAAUGAGGACCAAGGGACUGAGGAACAGAAAGCCUUCGCAUAUUUCUUCGAUGUGGGACUCCUGAUUCUGUUACAGCUUUGAAAGAAGGGCAGAGCAAGCAUAUUAGCGGUGGCCACGCGGGCAUACACGUGCAAUCGCGAGAGGCUUUUGUUCUGAUUCUUAACAUUCUUUUCUAGAAACCAUAAUUUACACGCGUUGCAAUCAGCCAAUUACAUUCCUCAGAUUGCCCAUUAAUUUUUUUCCUUUCCCUUUUUUUUUUGCCUAAUUUAUAUAAUAUUGCCUUUUGAAAAAUUUUGAGUCAUCUGAAAUUGUUUCCAUCUCAAGCUUUUGGCAAUGGAGAACAUUCUUGGUCUUCUCAGAAUUGGGGUGCGAAAAGGCAUAAAUCUUGCAGUUCGUGAUCUUGGUAGCAGCGAUCCUUAUGUGAUCAUCACCAUGGGACACCAGAAACUGAAGACUAAAGUGGUGAAAAGAAACUGCAAUCCUGAAUGGAAUGAAGAACUAACUCUUUCCAUUACAGAUGUCAAUGCUCCAAUAAAAUUAGAAGUUUAUGAUAAAGACACAUUCACUGUCGAUGACAAGAUGGGCGAUGCAGAAAUUGACAUCAAACCAUAUAUAGCGAGUCUCAAGAUGGGCUUGAAAAAUCUCCCAAAUGGUUGUGUAGUCAAGCGAGUUCAGCCAAGCAUGAACAACUGCCUUGCUGAUGAGAGCUGCAUUGUUUGGAACAAUGGCGAAAUCACCCAAGACAUGCUUUUUAGAUUGAGGAAUGUAGAGAGUGGUGAAGUGGAGGUUCACCUUAAGUGGAUUGAUGUUCCAGGUUGCAAGGGGUUGAAACUUGAAGGUAUCAGCUAAACAUAUUCGUCAUAUAUUUGUGACGUUUCCACAGAUUCAAGCUUCAUGACCUUGCUUGAAAUGAGAUUAAUUACUCUUUUGUAAUAAACAAAAAGAGAUUUGUAGAUAUCUAUGCUCCAACGUGACAGUGAGAAUCAUGGCGCACAUAAUGGGAGGGCUAUACCUAUAUAUGGUUAGUUUCUCCCCUGAAAACUGCCUGUGCAAUAUGUAUCUUAUUUUGCUUAUAACCCUUCGAAUCUGCGUAUGUUUGCA
rnacentral:misc_RNA from 1 species